UACGUAGGAGGCGAGCGUUGUCCGGAAUCACUGGGCGUAAAGGGCGCGUAGGCGGCUUGGGAAGUCCGUGGUGAAAGCUCGAGGCUCAACUUCGAGUCGGCCAUGGAUACUCCUAAGCUCGAGUCGACUAGAGGCAGAUGGAAUUCCGGGUGUAGCGGUGGAAUGCGUAGAGAUCCGGAAGAACACCGGUGGCGAAGGCGGUCUGCUGGGGUCGAACUGGACGCU
rnacentral:rRNA from 1 species